AAGUGGUCUAAUCAGGCAAGAAGUUCAAGGCUUAAAGAAAAUAGAUAAACAGUAGUGAUGUUAAUCAAAACACAAAUAAAAUUAUCAAUCUAGUGGGAGCAGAGGUGCUUAAAUAUUUAUGCAGUAUACUCUCCCCUCACCUUCCCAGCCUUGUAGUACCUAUGGCUCUGCUGAUGUAACAACGUGAUGGUGGAAUGCUCAGGAUAACUCAUGGCUCCUAACAGCCUCCAGCAGCCACAACAUGAGCUGCAGCUAGCUGAAGUUGAAUCUGGAGGCAGUGCACAAACAGUUCAGGCACUGCUUAACCUUGCAGGUCCCCAAGAAAUGUAGGCUCCACUCAUCACCAGGAGGCUGCUGGUGAUCAGGGACAGGAGAGAGGCUGACAGUGAGAACACAACUCGACCGGGGUCCAGCCACUGCAGAGCAGUCAUAUGGCAGUGCCUCAGAUGAAAAACAAACACUGUGCAGGCUGAUCCACCAGGA